CCUACGGGAGGCAGCAGUGAGGAAUAUUGGUCAAUGGACGAGAGUCUGAACCAGCCCAGUAGCGUGAAGGAUGACUGCCCUAUGGGUUGUAAACUUCUUUUAUAUGGGACUAAACUGUUCCACGUGUGGGCUUUUGUAUGUACCAUAUGAAUAAGGAUCGGCUAACUCCGUGCCAGCAGCCGCGGUAAUACGGAGGAUCCGAGCGUUAUCCGGAUUUAUUGGGUUUAAAGGGAGCGUAGGUGGAUUGUUAAGUCAGUUGUGAAAGUUUGCGGCUCAACCGUAAAAUUGCAGUUGAAACUGGCAGUCUUGAGUACAGUAGAGGUGGGCGGAAUGCGUGGUGUAGCGGUGAAAUGCUUAGAUAUCACGAAGAACGCCGAUUGCGAAGGCAGCUCACUGGACUGCAACUGACACUGAGGCUCGAAAGUGUGGGUAUCAAACAGGAUUAGAUACCCCUGUAGUC
rnacentral:rRNA from 1 species